UCCUACGGGGGGCAGCAGUGGGGGAUAUUGCACGAUGGGGGGAACCCUGAUGCAGCGACGCCGCGUGGGUGAAGAAGCGCCUCGGCGCGUAAAGCCCUGUCAGCAGGGAAGAAAAUGACGGUACCUGAAGAAGAAGCCCCGGCUAACUACGUGCCAGCAGCCGCGGUAAUACGUAGGGGGCAAGCGUUAUCCGGAUUUACUGGGGGUAAAGGGGGCGCAGACGGCGAUGCAAGCCAGGAGUGAAAGCCCGGGGCCCAACCCCGGGACUGCUCUUGGCACUGCGUGGCUGGAGUGCAGGAGGGGCG
rnacentral:rRNA from 1 species